ensembl:lncRNA
GAGGAUAUCAAGCCAAAAAUGAAAACUUUAGAGGAAAAGUUCAUUUUAUUUCAUGCAGUUAAGCAGACCAAAAACAAUUAUGCCAUAUAAAGAAUCAAGCCCAGCAUGUACAAAGCCAGAUAAACCGUUCAAAAUGCUUCACCAGUUUCUACAAGACGAAGAAAUCAUCAGAAUAGCUGCCUUGAAAGUGGAAGAGGAGACGAAGAGUUGGAUCAUAACGAUGAAAAUUAAUGAACUGGAAAAUGCAUAUCAAACCUUUCCAGGACAAUUGAAGCCAUAAAGACCGAACUGAGCAGAAAUGACACUGCUUUCCUUCAGAUUCUGUGCAGAGGAACAAAGGCUGACCUCCUUUUGGCAGUGGGAUUUGGGAUCUGGGAUGUUAUAACGGUCGAUACACUGUCGAUUAAAGUCCAUCUGGACUGGAACAACAGGGAACUAUUCUCAGGGGCUCUUAUUAACACACAGUUUGUAUUAUUUAAGAAUUUCUUUUACUGAGAGGGUCUUUCCCCAUAUUUGGAAUAGAAGUGGCAAUCCACUGAGAAAUUUACCAAUAAAGACUUUUAUAACAGUGGAACAGAGGAAUCAGAGAUUAACAAUUUAAGACAGCAUCCAGAAAAUUAUUUCACUGGCAUAAAUUUGUUAUUAAUUCCAAAAAGGUUGGGACAGCAUGUGAUUAGUACACUUCACUUGACCUGUAUAUAAAUGGAAAACUGUGCAAAAAACACAAUACUUAAUGUUUUAUCUUUUGAACUUUAUGUAUUUGUUUAUGUAUUUAUUUCAAGUCAAAAUUUGGGUUCAAGCCCCCAUGAGGAACAAGCCAAUAACAACAGCAGGAAAGAAAAUGUCGUUGAGGAAAAACUCUCUAUUUUUAUGUUUAAAAAGAUCUGUUCAUUCUAAAUGUGAUGCCUCCAACACUUAACUUUACACCUUAAUAAUAUGGAUGGUCCUUUUCGUUUUUUGGCCUGGAGAACAUGAUGUCUGUUAUUUCUAUAAGCAUUCUGAAAGGUUGACUUGUCAGAGUACAGCACACAUUUCUACUGUGUAAUAGUUCUUUUCAGGUGAGUUUGAGCUUGAAGUGAAAUACCUGAAAUCUAUUAUUGAGGGAUGUUGUUUUUAAACUGUUAGAUUAUUUACUGAUACAUAUUUUGGUGCCAAGCCUUACUCCUGGAUAUCCUUGUUCCUGGAAGCUUCUUUUAUGCUGAAACAUUACUGGUUUAAGAUGUCUUAAAUUGCCCUUGUCCCAACCUGUACAUGUUACUGGCAUCAAUUUCAGAUUUGCAAAAACAAUGAGGUUGAAAAACCAAAACAUUAUAUAAAUAUUUCUGUAAAUUUGUAAACUUACAUUUUUAAGUUAGAUUAUUGUCUUCCAGCACAGACGAUACCUGUACAGAUAUUACCUACACUUUUUAUUUUUACAAUACUCAAAAAGUGAUGUAAUUAAUCUUGUAGCUUUGUCUGCUUCUAUUAUAGAUAUUCCUUAUCUUGUUGAUCUCCCUUAAACAAUCAUGUGUAAUGUGUCUUAUUGACAUAAACAAAUUGGAAUGUAAUCAAAGGUGCUUAGUUUUAGAUAUAAAGUUUUGGAGACAUUAAUGUCUUUCAGUGUAUAUAAGUUGUAACUGCAAAUGUUCCUUCUCUUCACAAUUGGCAGAAAUUACUAUGCCAUGAAUCAGAAAAUGGAUAUGUAUAAAAUGUAUUCCAUGUGCAGAUAAAAUGUAAUCAAACAAAGAUAAAUCUUUCUUUAUUCACAACAGUGCAUGCCUACCUUACCAGAUGUUUAACUUACUAGAAUCAGAUAAUGUAGCUAUUUAUGGAAACAGAACCAUUUUGAGAGAAUUCCAUAACCCCAGUAUUACAUGCCACUACAUUCAUUCUUCUUAAAGAUUUAGUGCUUAAUUUAGUUGUAACUCACUGUCAACAUCGUGAGCCAAAAGUUCAGAAUCUGUCA